rnacentral:rRNA from 1 species
GCGCGAAAGCGUGACGGGGCUACCCCGAGUGCCGUCCGCUGAGGAUGGCUUUUCCCCGGUGUAAUGAGCCGGGGGAAUAAGGAGAGGGCAAGUCUGGUGUCAGCCGCCGCGGUAAUACCAGCUCUCCGAGUGGUAGGGAUGAUUAUUGGGCUUAAAGCGUCCGUAGCCGGCUUAGCAAGUCUCCUGUUAAAUUCAGCGACCUAAUCGUUGAGCCGCGGGAGAUACUACUAGGCUAGGAGGCGGGAGAGGCCGACGGUAUUCUCGGGGUAGGGGUGAAGUCCUAUAAUCCCGGGAGGACCACCAGUGGCGAAGGCUGUCGGCUAGAACGCGCUCGACGGUGAGGGACGAAAGCUGGGGGAGCGAACCGGAUUAGAUACCCGGGUAGUCCCAGCUGUAAACGAUGCGGGCUAGGUGUUGGGGUGGCUACGAGCCACUUCAGUGCCGCAGGGAAGCCAUUAAGCCCGCCGCCUGGGGAGUACGGCGCGAAAGCGCGCGAAAGCGCGCGAAAGCGCGCGAAAGCACA